rnacentral:rRNA from 1 species
GACAGAGGCCCCAAGCGUAGGCGGAAUCACUGGGCUUAAAGCGUGUGUAGGCGGAUCGUUAAGUGUCUUGUGAAAUCCCACGGCUCACCCGUGGAACUGCUGGGCAUACUGGCGAUCUUGGGCCAACUAGGGGCAGUCGGAACAAGCGGUGGAGCGGUGAAAUGCGUAGAUAUCGGGAGGAACACCAGUGGCGAAGGCGGCGAUCUGGGAAGAUACUGACGCUGAGGUGCGAAAGCGUGGGGAGCAAACAGG